CACAGGCUGUGACAUGUGACAUGGACAAGGCUGACCGUACCACAACGCCACAAAGAUUUUCAAAGCCUUCCCCAGUGGCUAAUCCAGGCGAUCCUGACUCCCCAAGUAGAGUCCAGCAGGGGCACCUCCUUCCAACACACUGCCUACUCUGCUCCCCGGGACCCCAUCCUUUUGGAUACUCCAGACUCAGUGCAGAAGCUGAGCCAGUCUGGACCCACUCUGCUCCGCCCAGGGAGCUCGCUGUCUCAAGAAAGAGGUGUGAGUGCACACACUCCCACAAAAUGUCUAACCGCGGAGUGUGAGAAGGAGAACAGAGCCAGGGCCAAAGUCGAGGGAGUGGGUCCCCGAAGGUUUCCCGGAGGAGGUGAUAGCGUGAGGGACCUUAAAACAUGAGCAAUGGAUUGGUUCUGAAAGACGGUUUCUGGGUCGGUAUAGCUCCUCUAUUCCUUUCACAAAUCGUGGUUUGUUUUCCUAUUCCUCCUUCCAAGGAGGGCUCCAUAGAGCCUUAGAGAGGAUUUAAUAUCAUCACCAAAGCCCCAGUAAGCCCCCCCCCCCCGAGGUGAGCUACCCAGAGGUAAGUGUCUUAAGAAAUGGAAACUGCUUUUUGACUUCUUGAGACAGCCAAAAGGAAGUGAAUAUUUUUUAAAGUCUGGUUUCAAGGGCCUUAUAAUGCUGGGUGGCUGAGACUGGCAAUGAAGUGUCAUUGACAUGUGAGUGACUUGGCAGAGGACUCUCCAUCACAAGCCCGAGCCCAGAGGAGAAAGAAAUCUGCAGAACUAUGCAUUGCAGUCUUGGCAGGAUAUCAGAGCAGGAAGAGCAAAGGCUUUGCAGUCAGACAAAGCUGGGUGUGAAAAACAGCCAUGCCGCUCACCACCUGUGUCCUCUUAGGAGCGGCAAAUCCUGCGCUUCAGUCUGCUCGUGUGUGAUAUGGGGAUGUAGUCCCUGGCCACCUGGGUUGCUCUGAGUUCAAAAGGAUAAUAUGUGUGAAGCAUCCUGAUCAAUGUCUGGCCAAUAAGAGAUCCUCCAGAAAUUGCAGGUAUUUGUUUUCAUCAUUAUUACUGUGGUAACUAUAGAGACGCCUUGUCAAUUUGGAGAGUAUUUGAAAUUAAAUUUCCAUCCCCAAACUCUCUCUCACCCUCCAGUUUAUUCUAAAACCUAUUCAAAGAACAAACUGAGCUUCAGAAUUUUCACCUGGGCUAAAGUGCCAAUGGCGUUUCUAUACCAUCUCAUAAUGGGUAUCUGUUAUGAAAUCACAGAACCACAGAAACUGAAUUGGAGACAGGGAAGCACCUCUAGCUUUCAGCCCUCUCUGUAAAACUAAAGAACACAGAGAUGGCCUCAGUGGAUAUGCUGAGGAUGAGACUAUGUCCGUAAAACAUCUCAAGUUUUCCAGCGAAGGCGUUCCUGUCGUGGCUCAGCGGUAACGAACCCUACUAGUAUCCGUGAGGAUGCAGGUUCGAUCCCUGGCCUCGCUCAGUGGGUCAGGGACCCGGCACUGCCAUGAGCUGGGGUGUAGGUUGCAGACACGGCUCGGAUCUGGCGUGGCUGUGGCUGUGGCAUAGGCCAGCAGCUGUAGCUCUGUUUCCACCCCUAGCCUGGGACCCUCCAUAUGCUGAGGGUGCCGCCCUAAAAAGAAAAGAAAAAAUGUGAAGUCCAGUUUCAGUGCCCAUCUCUUAUUGUCUUCAGUUCUGCCUGCUGCACUACUUUAGAAAGUAAUACUACUUGGAGGUAUAAACUCACACAAUUUAAACAGAAGGAAAAAAAGAGAAGGAGGGGGAGGGGGAAGGAGGAAAAGGGAAGAGAGGAGGGGGAGGCACUGGAACUGGUAAUUUUAAAAACACUCAGGUGAUUGCAAUGUGCUGCCAGCAGCCCAUUGGAUGGGGCCAGUUCCCUCUGGCACUUAGCCGAUACCCUCUUGGUGAAACAGCAAACUUCCUCAAGUCUCCCUACAGGCCUGGUUGUGUUUAAUAAAAUUGCACCAGCCUGACAUUUGUUGUACUUGAGCGAUGUGGCUGGAUGCCACGUGCUUAUUGUAAAGCAACUACUAGGAAUGUUAGCAGCCGCAACAGAUCAAGGACAAGGCUGUGUAUUUGCCUUCAGGUGUUCAUGGAGGAGGCAAGGCCUCAGCCCAGUGAGAGUUGCUGCUUCAACACUGGCUGAUUUACCAGGGAUUUCAGAUAGUCGCUGGACAUGCAAAGCUGUUGAUAGGAUUACAGACACCACAUCCAAAAGAGUAAGUCAAAAGAAAAAAAAAAUUUUUAAAGAAUUUUAAAAAGUAAAGCGUAGUUAGUUGUUCCUUGUCGGUUUUCUGGAUUCCUGUUUUCAAGUUGUUUCUUGGUUUCCUCGUUGUUCAUGUACCACUAGGUGGCGCACAUUACAAGAUGUUGGCCCUGAGGUGGGGCUGCAUUUAUCAUUAUGUGGUGACUAGAAGGAAAUCAGAGGUAAGGUUGCCAAAUUUAGCAAAUAAAAAGUAGAAGACUUUGGAGUUCCUGUGGUGGCUCAGUGGAAACGAAUCUGACUAGCAUCCCGUGAGGGCGCAGGUUGGAUCCCUGGCCUCGCUCGGUGGGUUAAGGACCCAGUGUUGCCGUGAUUUUGCAUCCUGCGUUGCUGUGGCAUAGGCCAGUGGCUACAGCUCCAAUCCAGCCCCUAGCCUGGGAACCUCCAUAUGUCGAGGGUGCAGUCCUGAAAAAAAAAAAAUCCCAAUUAAAUUUGAAUUUCACAUAAACAUUAUUACAUGGGGCAUGCUCACACUAAAAAUCUACUUGUUUCUCUCAAAUUCAAAUUUAACUGGGGGUCCAGUAUUUUACCUGAUGAUCUUAAUCAGAGGGGGACUUUAGGGAAUAAGUAGGUAAUCUGUGGCUCUCGGCUUUGUCAAAACUAGAAUUUUUGGUGGCAUAUUUGAGUGGAUCAAGAGACUCAAAGUAAUGUGAAACCAGCCAGCAUUUAUUACCCUGACAACCAUACUGUGACACUGUCUUCAGGAGCUAAAGUACUAAUGGUUAACCCUGGUUUGCCCCGCAUGAGUAUAUGUAUCCAGCUGUUUCUGCCCCACUACAUCUGUCUUAAUCAAGGCAAAGUUCUGGAAUACUCCAGCAGACUCUGUUGCUUCCUUUGGCAAUGGCUUGAGUGUGGCCUUACCCUAUGUCUUGUAGCUCUUAGAGUAAAUUGGACCCACGUUGCUUUGAGGGGUACAAUCUCAGUGUGCAGUUUGACAGAGAAUGGCAUCGGUUGUUUGUUUUACAUGUUGAAUUUGGUGGCAUACGUGAAAAGGUUAGGGCCAUACCUCCAUAGCUGACAUCCCUUGGCCAGCCUCAAGUUGAAUACCUCAUCGAGAAGAAAGCAGGAACUUGACCUGCAUCCCUGAGCUCUUUCUUGACACAAAUUGGCCAAUCUCCCUUCUUGACCACAAGCUUUCUCCAGGAAGGGACCAGCAUCCUGCAGAGAGAAAAGCUGCAGGGCAACCUUGAAUUUGACAAGCACAUGAUUCAACAUGCACUUGAAGUCCCCAGAAUCAGUGCUGCACCCAAGGAACUUUCCAGACAGACUGGUUGUCCCAGUUCUGUAAGCCAAGCUCUGGUCCACUUGGUCUCCCCAUAUGACAGUUGAGUCCCUAAGGAGAAGAAGAAAGAAGGAAAUAGAGAAGCUCAGAGUUUGCAAAAGUGAGUCUUAAAGGCUACCCAGCUACAGCCUACUCUGAUAUCUGACUAUUCUCUGCUGAGGUGGGGGAGGAAGGGUUAAUGAUCAGACAUUUGUCUUAAACCCACUGUUAAGAGCUUUCUUCUUCUCCUGCAAGGUGACUGUUUGCAGGACUAGAUAACAUGGGAAAACACUUAGAUAGCAAAAGCAAUUCUUUUUUCCUCACCCCCCCAACUCUUUUCUAGAUCUAUUCUUUUUAACAACUUUAUUGGUAUACAAGUCAUAUUUAAAGUGUGCAAUUCAAUAGUUUUUAGUAUAUUCACCGAGUUGUGCAACCAUCACCACAAUCAAUAUUAGAACAUUUUCACCCCAAAAAGAACCCCCCUACCCAUUAGCAGCCAUGGCACCAUUUCUCCCAACUGUCCCCACCAGCCCUAAGCAACCAUUAAUCUACUCUCUAACUCUAGAAAUUGGCCUGCUCUGGACAUUUCAUCUAAGUGGAAUCAUAUAAUAUGUGGUCUUUUGUGUCUGGCUUCUUUGACUUCGCAUAAUGUCCUCAGGGUUCACCCAUGUUGGAGCGUGUCAGUACUUCAUUCCUUUUUCUGCAUUCAUGUUGUUUAUCUGUUUAUGCACUGAUGGGCAUUUGAGUUGGUUGUUUUGGCUGUUGUAAUGUUGCUAUGUACCAGCUCACAAUCCGUAAUGGACUCUCCUACAGAUCUUGUGACUACAUUGAGGUGGGUCAACUCUCUUGCUUCUAGAAACUCAGAGUAGAGAAGUCCUAUGCGGACGCUGCUUCCACCACAAGAAUAAAAAGAGAAUAUUCACUUUUGGAGAAGGGACCCCUGGGAGCCAGGGACCUCCUCUUGCAGAUACGUGACAACUUAUAUGAGUUCAUGGGCUCUGGGGAUCUUGGAGAAGAUCGUGAGGUCUUCCAUCUGCAGAAUGGGUUCCUGAUGCCUUUGCCUCCUCCUGGUGGUCCUUCAUUAAGACAUCCAUGUGGAGGGAAAUUUGGGUCCGAAGGUAACACCGUAUUUAUACAGCCUCAUCAGAAUAGUCAGACAGUGACAUAUUUGGAAAAUUUUUGCUCUCUGAGAUAUCCUGAAUUCCUUAGGUCAACACGUGGAUAAGGAUGAACAAAAAACAAGCUGGAUUUUUGAGAUUUUCCUCACAACCCCCAGGGCCUAAUGGUCCUGGAGAGGAGGCUGAGCGCUCCUCCUUGGGAGGGGAGGAAUCAAGAUUGACCAGAGUGGGAGUUCCCAUCGUGGCGCAGCGGAAAUGAGUCUGACUCGGAACCGUGAGGUUUCGGGUUGGAUCCCUGGCCUCACUUAGUGGGUGAAGGAUCCAGCGUUGCUGUGAGCUGUGGUGUAGGUCACAGACG
rnacentral:lncRNA from 1 species